UACGUAGGGGGCAAGCGUUGUCCGAAUCAUUGGGCGUAAAGAGCGUGUAGGCGGUUCGGUAAGUCGGCUGUGAAAGUCCAGGGCUCAACCCUGGGAUGCCGGUCGAUACUGCCGGACUAGAGUUCGGAAGAGGCGAGUGGAAUUCCCGGUGUAGCGGUGAAAUGCGUAGAUAUCGUAAGGAAGACCAGUGGCGAAGGCGGGUCUCUGGACAGUUCCUGACGCUGAGGCACGAAGGUCAGGGGAGCAAACGGG
rnacentral:rRNA from 1 species